rnacentral:rRNA from 1 species
CUACGGGAUGCUGCAGUGGGGAAUAUUGCACAAUGGGCGCAAGCCUGAUGCAGCCAUGCCGCGUGUAUGAAGAAGGCCUUCGGGUUGUAAAGUACUUUCAGCGAGGAGGAAGGGAGUAAAGUUAAUACCUUUGCUCAUUGACGUUACCCGCAGAAGAAGCACCGGCUAACUCCGUGCCAGCAGCCGCGGUAAUACGGAGGGUGCAAGCGUUAAUCGGAAUGACUGGGCGUAAAGCGCACGCAGGCGGUUUGUUAAGUCAGAUGUGAAAUCCCCGGGCUCAACCUGGGAACUGCAUCUGAUACUGGCAAGCUUGAGUCUCGUAGAGGGGGGUAGAAUUCCAGGUGUAGCGGUGAAAUGCGUAGAGAUCUGGAGGAAUACCGGUGGCGAAGGCGGCCCCCUGGACGAAGACUGACGCUCAGGUGCGAAAGCGUGGGGAGCAAACAGGAUUAGAUACCCUUGUAGUC